rnacentral:lncRNA from 1 species
GGUACCACCAGAGUACUUAUGAACAAGCUAUUGGAUUGUCUUCAAAUCCUUUUGUAUGGGUGGGGGGACCACAGUCACGUGAUUAUUAAUUCUAAAAAGAGAAUACAAAGCCAAAAUAUCCCUGGUCAGUUACACCUUCAUUUCAGCAUAAAUAAUAAUCAUUCCUUAGCAGUCAGCCAAGAGGUAUACGUGAAAAGCAAACAAAAAAAAACUCUCAACAGUUACAUAUGCACAUAAUCCGUAUGAAUGAGCAGUUUCAAAAUGAACAAACAGAAAGGCAAAGGGUUCUGAUAACAUUGAAUCACAAUUGGCAGCCUAAGGGUCUACUUUCAAAGAGUAUGAAAAGGGGGCAGUGCAACCAGGAAAAAUAUAGACAGAACAUAAAAACAAACCCUGCAAUCCAGAGAGAAUACCAUCAGAAUAUACCUACAAUCCAUAUAAACUUGCAUCCAGUGUCUAUCACAAAAAAUCAAAGAACACACAACACAGUUGUCAUAGCUCACAUAUACCCAAACAUCCAAAAUACACACAUACACUGAAAUCAGAACCCUCAGGCACUGUUCUAUCACACAAAUAUAGAAGCAGGACCUCUGUAAACAAAGAAUCAACACUCAGAAGGACAAAAGAAGAGAGCAUUCACUCAGGUAAGCAUUAAAACCAUAAAAAACAAUAUUUUAUAUGUGCCCUGAGCAUCAAAGCAUACACGCAUAUUCCAUAAACAUACCCUGCUUUAUAUGGUUUAUGUACUAGACUUAUAUGCUUAGUUCGUAAAUGUUUCUAAUUGAUCAUGCUAAAAUACACACUGGUUUCAACAGAAACAUGUAUCAACUUAAUUAAAAAUGAAAUAGAUGAAAACAAAUAGUGCAUUGCCGUAACCUUAAAACAAGAUGGAAACGGAAAUUGUUGAGCCAUCGUUGAGCCACUGAACCUGUCCCGACGCUAAAGGGGGAUUAAGUUUCCUUAACCUUAGGUGACCAUAGUGAAACCCCAUGGUUGAAUGGCCUCAAUGCCGUAAAGGGGAUAGGUUCCUUCUCAACCUCGGUGGCUAUCAACGCAGGGAGGGAUUUUCUUCGGGCUCGUCGGAAACGACACCCAUUUGUAAAGAAGACAAAGAAGAGAUAAGAGAGGGGAGGAAAUGGCUUGAUUUAGGGAUUCAUUUCCCUUUUGCUUCAUUCACGUGUAAAUGGGGGAUAACCCCAUUUCUAAUUGACUUAAUCCAUCCUGUUUUGU